GCCCGGCUAGCUCAAUCGGUAGAGCGUGAGACUCUUAAAUCUCAGGUUAUCUCAAGGUUGUGGGUUCGACCCCCACGUCGGGCU